rnacentral:rRNA from 1 species
GACAGCAGCAGCCGCGGUAAAACGGAGGGGGCUAGCGUUGUUCGGAAUUACUGGGCGUAAAGCGCACGUAGGCGGCUUGGUAAGUUAGAGGUGAAAGCCCAGGGCUCAACCCUGGAAUUGCCUUUAAGACUGCCGAGCUAGUAGGUGAGAGAGGUGAGUGGAAUUCCGAGUGUAGAGGUGAAAUUCGUAGAUAUUCGGAAGAACACCAGUGGCGAAGGCGGCUCACUGGCUCGUUCUAGACGCUGAGGUGCGAAAGCGUGGGGAGCAAACAGGAUUAGAUACCCCGGUAGUCCCUGUCUCUUAUAC